rnacentral:rRNA from 1 species
GGCGGCCCCCCGCACUCCCGGGGCGUCUCCGGCUCAUUGCGAGCGGAGGCGCACCUAGAGCGUUCACGUUGGGACCCGAAAGAUGGUGAACUAUGCCUGGCCAGGACGAAGCCAGGGGAAACCCUGGUGGAGGUCCGUAGCGGUUCUGACGUGCAAAUCGAUCGUCGGAGCUGGGUAUAGGGGCGAAAGACUAAUCGAACCAUCUAGUAGCUGGUUCCCUCCGAAGUUUCCCUCAGGAUAGCUGGCGCCCAGGUUGAGACGAGUCUCAUCUGGUAAAGCGAAUGAUUAGAGGCAUUGGGGUCGAAACGACCUCAACCUAUUCUCAAACUUUAAAUGGAUGAGAACCCCGGCUUGCUUGAUCACUUCUCGUGAAGCCGCGGGCUCGGAUCCGGGUGCCAAGUGGGCCAAUUUUG